CCUACGGGAGGCAGCAGUGGGGAAUCUUGCGCAAUGGGCGAAAGCCUGACGCAGCAACGCCGCGUGCGGGAAGAAGGCCUUCGGGUUGUAAACCGCUUUCAGAAGGAACGAAAAUGACGGUACUUUCAGAAGAAGGUGCGGCCAACUACGUGCCAGCAGCCGCGGUGACACGUAGGCACCAAGCGUUGUCCGGAUUUAUUGGGCGUAAAGAGCUCGUAGGCGGUUCGGUAAGUCGGAUGUGAAAUCUUUGGGCUUAACCCAAAGCGUGCAUUCGAUACUGCCAUGACUAGAGUUCGGUAGGGGAGCGGGGAAUUCCUAGUGUAGCGGUGAAAUGCGCAGAUAUUAGGAGGAACACCGGUGGCGAAGGCGCCGCUCUGGGCCGAAACUGACGCUGAGGAGCGAAAGCGUGGGCAGCAAACAGGAUUAGAUACCCUGGUAGUCCACGCCGUAAACGUUGGGCACUAGGUGUGGGUCUCAACCAACGAGAUCCGCGCCGUCGCUAACGCAUUAAGUGCCCCGCCUGGGGAGUACGGCCGCAACGUUAAAACUCAAAUGAAUUGACGG
rnacentral:rRNA from 1 species